rnacentral:rRNA from 1 species
GCUCGAGUGGCGAACGGGUGAGUAACACGUGGGUGAUCUGCCCUGCACUUCGGGAUAAGCCUGGGGAAACUGGGUCUAAUACCGGAUAGGAGCCAUUUUUAGUGUGAUGGUUGGAAAGUUUUUCGGUGUAGGAUGAGCUCGCGGCCUAUCAGCUUGUUGGUGGGGUAAUGGCCUACCAAGGCGGCGACGGGUAGCCGGCCUGAGAGGGUGGACGGCCACAUUGGGACUGAGAUACGGCCCAG